AGUGAACGCUGGCGGUAGGCCUAACACAUGCAAGUCGAACGGCAGCACAGUAAGAGCUUGCUCUUACGGGUGGCGAGUGGCGGACGGGUGAGGAAUACAUCGGAAUCUACUUUUUCGUGGGGGAUAACGUAGGGAAACUUACGCUAAUACCGCAUACGACCUACGGGGGAAAGCAGGGGAUCUUCGGACCUUGCGCGAUUGAAUGAGCCGAUGUCGGAUUAGCUAGUUGGCGGGGUAAAGGCCCACCAAGGCGACGAUCCGUAGCUGGUCUGAGAGGAUGAUCCGCCACACUGGAACUGGGACACGGUCCCGGCUCCUACGGGAGGCAGCAGUGGGGAAUAUUGGACAAUGGGCGCAAGCCUGAUCCAGCCCUACCGCGUGGGUGAAGAAGGCCUUCGGGUUGUAAAGCCCUUUUGUUGGGAAAGAAAAGCAGCAGGUUAAUACCCCGCUGUUCUGACGGUACCCAAAGAAUAAGCACCGGCUAACUUCGUG
rnacentral:rRNA from 1 species